rnacentral:rRNA from 1 species
UGGGGAAUAUUGGACAAUGGGCGCAAGCCUGAUCCAGCUAUGCCGCGUGGAUGAAGAAGGCCCUAGGGUUGUAAAGUCCUUUCGUUGGUGAAGAUAAUGACGGUAACCAAAGAAGAAGCCCCGGCUAAUUUCGUGCCAGCAGCCGCGGUAAUACGAAAGGGGCUAGCGUUGUUCGGAAUUACUGGGCGUAAAGCGCACGUAGGCGGCCUUGUAAGAUGGGGGUGAAAUCCCUGGGCUCAACCCAGGAACUGCCUUCAUGACUGCAAAGCUCGAGGAUGUGAGAGGUUGGCGGAAUUCCGAGUGUAGAGGUGAAAUUCGUAGAUAUUCGGAAGAACACCAGUGGCGAAGGCGGCCAACUGGCAC